AUAUCCUAUCUCUCCCGUGAUCAGGGCCGGGGUGACCAUUACGCGCCUAGGCCGGGUUACGGUUCCUACCUCCUGACCCUCGAUAGGUCCCUGUAGUUGUAGGCCCUUCCGGCGCACCCUAGAUUGAUUCCGUUUAACCCCGGCCGGCCGGGGAAGGUUAGAUAUCGCAUAGGAUAAGCCGCGUUACCGCGAUAGUAUUAAGUUUAUUGUGUGUGUGUGAAUAAACGGCAUAAAAGCCCGAUUAGUUAAGUGAAA